UACGGAGGGUGCAAGCGUUGUCCGGAAUCACUGGGCGUAAAGCGCACGUAGGCGGCUUUCUAAGUCAGGGGUGAAAUCCUGGAGCUCAACUCCAGAACUGCCUUUGAUACUGGAGAGCUAGAGUCCGGAAGAGGUGAGUGGAACUGCGAGUGUAGAGGUGAAAUUCGUAGAUAUUCGCAAGAACACCAGUGGCGAAGGCGGCUCACUGGUCCGGUACUGACGCUGAGGUGCGAAAGCGUGGGGAGCAAACAGG
rnacentral:rRNA from 1 species